ensembl:misc_RNA Metazoa_SRP Metazoan signal recognition particle RNA
GCUGGGCAUGGUGGCGCAUGCCUGUAAUCCCAGCUGCUCAGGAGGCUGAGGCAGGAGAAUUGCUUGAACCUGGGAGGCAUAGGUUGCAGUGAGUGGAGAUCACACCACUGCACUCCAGCCUGGGAGACAGAGCGAGACCCUAUCUCAA